rnacentral:ncRNA from 1 species
UUGUCAACUAUAGUCUAUGGUAUAAUUUCCUAGCUUGUUGUUGGGAAAGUCCGGUGAGAUUCCGUUACUGUGCCGCAACUGUAAUCAAGGAAAAAAUAAUUGGAUUCUACCUUUUUACCUUUUCCCUUGCGAGUCAGAAUGCCAAUUUCAAGCGGUUCAAGAUUG